rnacentral:rRNA from 1 species
UCAUAUAGCUAUUGGGUCUAUGAACACAUCCAAUCUUAUUUUAUUUCAGAAGGUAAUUAGGAUCAAGGCUGGUUAGUACUCACCUGGGAGAUCAUUUGGGAAUGCCUGGUGCUAUAGGGA